GCAUCGGGAAUAUAGCUUUGCAAAAUUUCAACAUGGCCACGACUGGAAAAUUUAAGCCAAACGAAGGCGACUGGAUUUGUCCUGAGCCUAAGUGCGGGAAUGUUAAUUUUGCAAGAAGAUCUCAGUGUAACAAAUGUGGAAAAGACCGAAAGGAAGGCAUAGUUUACAAGAAAGGAGGAACAGAGAUUGGAAAAAACCUAGCAGAGAAAAGCAAAGGUCUUUUCAGUGCUGAUGACUGGCAGUGUAAAACAUGUGGAAAUGUAAACUGGGCAAGACGUAUGACAUGUAACAUGUGUAAUACUCCAAAAUAUGGGAAGCAGGAACAGCGAACAGGAUUUGGUGGUGGCUAUAUGGAAAGAGAUGAAGUUGUUGAAUACAAAGAACGGGUUGAGGAUGAUGAAUAUGAUGAGUUUGGCCGAAAGAAGAAGAAAAGUAGAGCUUCAGUUGAAGAAAGACCAAAUGUAUAUGCUGCUAUUAAGGAAGAAGAAAAUGAUGACGAAGAAAAUGGAGAUACUUCUGCAUACAAACUUGAAUCGGAGGAUGAGCAGGAAGAAGAAGAUGAUGAUGAUGAUGGAGACCUUGGUCAAUAUGAUCUUGCUGCUAGUGAUGAAGAUGAAAAAGUAAUUCCUGGUGAUAAAAGGUCGAGGUCAUCAAGUUACAGCUCACAGUCGUCAGACAGUUCAAGUGCAAGGUCUUCAUCUAGUUCCAGAUCAAGGUCGAGGUCGAGAUCAAAAGAGAGAAAACGAGCUAGAUACUCACGGUCUAGGUCCAGGUAACUGGUAACAGGGGUACUGGUAAAGGUCAAAGAUCUCACGAAGACUCUUCAGAUGAUUCAAGGUCACGAUCUGGCUCGCGUGACAGGAAAUAAGGCGGUCAAGAAUGUAGAAACACCAAGCUGAGAUACAAGUACCAAGAAAAAGGAACCUAAACCAAAAUGCCAGCUGACAUGCAGGAAAAUUAAUAAUAUGCAGGAUCAGUUACUGUUUACAUUUUUUGUACUAGCAAGAUUAUCCAUAAAAAUUGAAAUGGAUUUAAUACUAGAUGAGUUUGUAUGCACAUUACAUAGCAUUAUCAUUGAAAUGUUUUUACAAUUGUAACAUUAAGAAGCUGUAAGUCUUUAGCUUUCCCUAGCACAAAGUGCUCAAGUUGAGCUCUUGUUAUAACACUGUUUGUUGUCCAAUAAUAUUGGUCAUUGACAGUUUUACUGUUAAUACUUUAGAGGUCAAAAUUUUUGUCCUCCAAUACAAAUGAUAACUUGCCUCAAUAAUAUCCUUAAGCCUGCCCGCUUAGCUCAGUAGGUAGAGCGUCGGUCUACGAAUUGCUGGGUCCCGAGUUCGAUCCUAGGGCGGGGCUUAUGUUCUCUGUGAUUAUUUGAUAAACGUCAUUGUAUCUGAAAUCAUUAGUCCUCCACCUCUGAUUUAUGUGGGGAAGUUGGCAUUUACUUGCAGAGAACAGGUUUGUACUGGUACAGAAUCCAGGAACACUGGUUAGGUUAACUGCCCGCCGUUACAUGACUGAAAUAUUGUUGAAAAACGGUGUUAAACCCAAAACAAAACAAAAAUCAAUAAUAUCUUUCAUGAUGCUUGAUCAUCUAGGGUCAAAAGUUAGGUAAGGAUGUCAAAUCAUAGGAAGUUUUGUUAACAUAACCUCCAGAUGAAACAAUUUUUAAAAGAUUUUCAUGAAACCUGGUCUGUCUAUAGAAAUUAGUUGAUUUUUGAAAUUGAUCAUUUGGGUCAGCAACUUAGUCACUAGGUCAAAUCUUACAAAACAGGGUCACGAUUUUUGUCCAAUCCUAAUGUUAUGUGGUCAGAAUAUAAUUCCUGGACAAGAAGUAUUGGAAACUAGAUCAUCUGGGGUCAUAACCUAUAUGUUAGUAGAUCAAAUUAUAGAAAAAUCUUGAUAACAUAACACUAGAGGUCAUUUAUAUGAAAUCUGGUCUGAAUGUUUGCCUUAAUGAAAUCUUGUUUAAAACUGGUUUAAAAACUAGAUAUGGUGAGCCAUUCUAUAUUUACUGUAUUACAGUUCUUAAUGUAGAGCAAUCUAGGAUUAACAAGUAAAAAGUAUAAACAUUUUAUAGACCUUCUUGAGGAGAAUUAUAAAGUAAAAACAAUUUAGAGGUCUAACAGUGCUUGUACAAAACUUGGACAGCAACUAUUGACCUGCUGUCAAACCUAUAUAAAUUUAUGUUUCAAGAUGUAAUAAAGCAGCUUUUGAGAUAAAUCUGUGACUUAUAGAUUUUAUUAAAAUAAAAUCAUUCAGAAGAA